rnacentral:ncRNA from 2 species
UUAAUAUUGGUAUAAACAGGUGCAAUGGUCUAUUGAAAAAUAGAUUUUGUGCUUAAUAGGGAAGUUUGGUGAAAGCCAACGCGGUCCCGCCACUGUAAAUGGGAGCAACCUAUAAAAUGUCACUGUCGUUUUUUGAUGGGAAGGCAUAGGGAGUGAUGAUCAUGAGCCAGGAAACCUGCCUGUUUUUUACACCAGCG